rnacentral:rRNA from 1 species
GAUGAACGCUGGCGGCGUGCUUAACACGUGCAAGUCGAACGGGAAACAUUUUAUUGAAGCUUCGGCAGAUCUAGCUUGUUUCUAGUGGCGGACGGGUGAGUAACGCGUGGGUAACCUGCCUCACACUGGGGGAUAACAGUCAGAAAUCAUUGCUAAUACCGCAUAUACCACAGAUAUCGCAUGAUAUAGGUGGAAAAGGAGCAAUCCACUAAUAGAUGAGCUUGCGUCUGAUUAGUUAGUUGGUGGGGUAACGGCCUACCAAGACGACGAUCAGUAGCCGGACUGAGAGGUUGAACGGCCACAUUGGGACUGAGAUACGGCCCAG